GGGGACCUUCGGGGCCCUAUAACCAUCGCGCCUACAUUUUGAUGUGAGCGUGCCUAGCAAACGGAAGACAGAGA
ncrna:unclassified sequences L2-Alphaproteobacteria ribosomal protein leader